rnacentral:rRNA from 1 species
GAUGAACGCUGGCGGCGUGCCUAAUACAUGCAAGUCGAGCGAACGGACGAGAAGCUUGCUUCUCUGAUGUUAGCGGCGGACGGGUGAGUAACACGUGGAUAACCUACCUAUAAGACUGGGAUAACUUCGGGAAACCGGAGCUAAUACCGGAUAAUAUUUUGAACCGCAUGGUUCAAAAGUGAAAGACGGUCUUGCUGUCACUUAUAGAUGGAUCCGCGCUGCAUUAGCUAGUUGGUAAGGUAACGGCUUACCAAGGCAACGAUGCAUAGCCGACCUGAGAGGGUGAUCGGCCACACUGGAACUGAGACACGGUCCAGACUCCUACGGGAGGCAGCAGUAGGGAAUCGUCCGCAAUGGGCGAAAGCCUGACGGAGCAACGCCGCGUGAGUGAUGAAGGUCUUCGGAUCGUAAAACUCUGUUAUUAGGGAAGAACAUAUGUGUAAGUAACUGUGCACAUCUUGACGGUACCUAAUCAGAAAGCCACGGCUAACUACGUGCCAGCAGCCGCGGUAAUACGUAGGUGGCAAGCGUUAUCCGGAAUUAUUGGGCGUAAAGCGCGCGUAGGCGGUUUUUUAAGUCUGAUGUGAAAGCCCACGGCUCAACCGUGGAGGGUCAUUGGAAACUGGAAAACUUGAGUGCAGAAGAGGAAAGUGGAAUUCCAUGUGUAGCGGUGAAAUGCGCAGAGAUAUGGAGGAACACCAGUGGCGAAGGCGACUUUCUGGUCUGUAACUGACGCUGAUGUGCGAAAGCGUGGGGAUCAAACAGGAUUAGAUACCCUGGUAGUCCACGCCGUAAACGAUGAGUGCUAAGUGUUAGGGGGUUUCCGCCCCUUAGUGCUGCAGCUAACGCAUUAAGCACUCCGCCUGGGGAGUACGACCGCAAGGUUGAAACUCAAAGGAAUUGACGGGGACCCGCACAAGCGGUGGAGCAUGUGGUUUAAUUCGAAGCAACGCGAAGAACCUUACCAAAUCUUGACAUCCUUUGACAACUCUAGAGAUAGAGCUUUCCCCUUCGGGGGACAAAGUGACAGGUGGUGCAUGGUUGUCGUCAGCUCGUGUCGUGAGAUGUUGGGUUAAGUCCCGCAACGAGCGCAACCCUUAAGCUUAGUUGCCAUCAUUAAGUUGGGCACUCUAAGUUGACUGCCGGUGACAAACCGGAGGAAGGUGGGGAUGACGUCAAAUCAUCAUGCCCCUUAUGAUUUGGGCUACACACGUGCUACAAUGGACAAUACAAAGGGCAGCGAAACCGCGAGGUCAAGCAAAUCCCAUAAAGUUGUUCUCAGUUCGGAUUGUAGUCUGCAACUCGACUACAUGAAGCUGGAAUCGCUAGUAAUCGUAGAUCAGCAUGCUACGGUGAAUACGUUCCCGGGUCU